rnacentral:rRNA from 1 species
UACGGAGGGUGCAAGCGUUAUCCGGAUUCACUGGGUUUAAAGGGUGUGUAGGCGGGUUAUUAAGUCAGGGGCGAAAUCCUGGAGCUCAACUCCAGAACUGCCUUUGAUACUGCUAAACUUGAAUUAUUGUGAAGUAACUAGAAUAUGUAGUGUAGCGGUGAAAUGCUUAGAGAUUACAUGGAAUACCAAUUGCGAAGGCAGGUUACUAACAAUAUAUUGACGCUGAUGGACGAAAGCGUGGGUAGCGAACAGG